AAAAAGACAAACUCUGGUUUCCGUGCCCAACGUUUGACCGUCCGUCUUAUUUAAAAAAAAUAUGAAAAAAUUAAAAAGACAAGUCACGCAUAAAAUAUUAAUCAUGUUUUAUCAUCUAACAACAAUGAAAAUACGAAUUAUAAAAAAAAUUUCAUAUAAGACGCACAGUCAAAAUUGGACACGGAAACCCAAUGUUUGCCUUUUU
rnacentral:pre_miRNA from 1 species